ACUAUUUUACACAUGUUCACGAAAACUUGGCAGCUUGUGGAGGAGGUCCUAAAAAUCCACCAGCUUGUUUAGUGGCGGCACGUGAGGGAGCAAGACCCAGCAUCUUCUGGAUAUUCUGAGGAGAUCCAAGUAUUCAGAGGCUUGUGGGGUUAAUAUGACAUAACAGAUAGACCUUACCUGUCUAAUUGACAUGGUGCACAAGAUGUAGAGGAAGAUGAAAGAACAGUCAGUGUAAUCUUCACCAAGGAGAUUACGGUGCGAGAGGCCUUGGAUGUAAGACAAAGGGACGAAAGGAAGUUUGGCCACAACACGACCAUCAAAGCUGGAAU